rnacentral:rRNA from 1 species
GAUGAACGCUGGCGGCGUGCCUAACACAUGCAAGUCGAACGGAGAAUAUACGCUUCAGAAGCUUCGGCAGAUGAUUGUAUAUUCUUAGUGGCGGACGGGUGAGUAACGCGUGGGCAACCUGCCUCAUACUGGGGGAUAACAGCUGGAAACGACUGUUAAUACCGCAUAAGCGCACAGUGUCGCAUGACACAGUGUGAAAAACUCCGGUGGUAUGAGAUGGGCCCGCGUCAGAUUAGCCAGUUGGCGGGGUAACGGCCCACCAAAGCGACGAUCUGUAGCCGGCCUGAGAGGGCGGACGGCCACAUUGGGACUGAGACACGGCCCAAACUCCUACGGGAGGCAGCAGUGGGGGAUAUUGCACAAUGGAGGAAACUCUGAUGCAGCGACGCCGCGUGAGUGAAGAAGUAUUUCGGUAUGUAAAGCUCUAUCAGCAGGGAAGAAAGGCUCGUAAGAGAGAUGAC